rnacentral:rRNA from 1 species
CACGUAGGGCGCAAGCGUUGUCCGGAAUUAUUGGGCGUAAAGAGCUCGUAGGCGGUCUGUUGCGUCCGCUGUGAAAACUCGGGGCUUAACCCCGAGCCUGCAGUGGAUACGGGCAGACUAGAGGUAGGUAGGGGAGAAUGGAAUUCCCGGUGUAGCGGUGAAAUGCGUAGAUAUCAGGAGGAACACCUGUGGCGAAAGCGGCUCACUGGACCACAACUGACGCUGAUGCACGAAAGCUAGGGGAGCAAACAG